rnacentral:tRNA from 1 species
CCUUCGAUAGCUCAGUUGGUAGAGCGGUGGACUGUAGCAGCAAGCGCGCGUUUUCACGAAACGCCCAUAGUAAUCCAUAGGUCACUGGUUCAAAUCCGGUUCGAAGGA